rnacentral:rRNA from 1 species
UACAGAGGCUGCAAGCGUUAUUCGGAUUCACUGGGCGUAAAGGGUGCGCAGGCGGUCGGGUGUGUCAGAUGUGAAAUCCCGAGGCUCAACCUCGGAACUGCGUCUGAAACUACUCGACUAGAGUACUGGAGAGGGUAACGGAAUUCACGGUGUAGCAGUGAAAUGCGUAGAUAUCGUGAGGAACGCCAGAGGCGAAGGCGGUUACCUGGACAGUUACUGACGCUCAGGCACGAAAGCAUGGGGAGCAAAAGGG